rnacentral:rRNA from 1 species
CUACGGGUGGCUGCAGUGGGGAAUCUUAGACAAUGGGCGCAAGCCUGAUCUAGCCAUGCCGCGUGAGUGACGAAGGCCUUAGGGUCGUAAAGCUCUUUCGCUGGGGAAGAUAAUGACGGUACCCAGUAAAGAAACCCCGGCUAACUCCGUGCCAGCAGCCGCGGUAAUACGGAGGGGGUUAGCGUUGUUCGGAAUUACUGGGCGUAAAGCGCGCGUAGGCGGAUCAGAAAGUUGGGGGUGAAAUCCCAGGGCUCAACCCUGGAACUGCCCUCAAAACUCCUGGUCUUGAGUUCGAGAGAGGUGAGUGGAAUUCCGAGUGUAGAGGUGAAAUUCGUAGAUAUUCGGAGGAACACCAGUGGCGAAGGCGGCUCACUGGCUCGAUACUGACGCUGAGGUGCGAAAGCGUGGGGAGCAAACAGGAUUAGAUACCCGGGUAGUC